UACGGAGGGUGCAAGCGGUGUCCGGAUGUAUUGGGUUUAAAGGGUGCGUAGGCGGGUUAUUAAGUCAGGGGUGAAAGUCUGCGGCUCAACCGCAGGAGUGCCAUUGAUACUGGUAGUCAUGAGUACAGUAGAGGUAGGCGGAAAUUAUGGUGUAGCGGUGUAAUGCAUAGAUACCAUAAAGAAAACCGAUAGCGUAGGCAGCUUACUAUGCUGUAACUGACGCUGAGGCACGAAAGCGUGGGGCUCGAACAGG
rnacentral:rRNA from 1 species